CAUGUGUUCAGCAAACAUUGUAUAUAGAGUAAUCCUUUAGGUUCCCAGAUUCUGUAAUUCUUACCAGAUGAACUUAGAUUUGGAUGAAGGGUGAGCACUUGCUUUAAUAUGUGCAAUAACAAUACAAUCGUGUUCUGUGCUGCCUCAACCAGCACAUAGACAGUAGAUUCUCUUUAGGGGACCAGAUGACUGCAUGUUUUAUUCUUACACUGUAUAGAUGCUCUUGGUGCAUCCAGAAUAAAAUUUUUAUCAUAUUUCUGAAUAAUGUAAUAAUAGGAGUAAAUAGAUAUGUAUUUAAAAUCCAAACAUUUUCCAAAGCAACUUAUAUACCUUCAAUAUUUUUCAAUGAUAAUAUAUAAGAUCAGAUGCUGUACCCUGGACAGGUGGUUGUAAUGUAACAGCAAAAGCCAAACAAAAGUGCAAAUAUGAGCUGUGCAUCAUAACAGCAAGUUCUAUCAGUCUGUUUUAGGAUAUUGUUGCAUUAAAUUGGAUCUAGCAGAUAGAGGAGCUUAUGAUAAAGGCAAAUAGGCUCACAAAAGGCAGAUGACAAUACCAAAGCUACUAGUGUUCCACAUCGACACAAAUAGUACUUAGAAUGGUUCAGACAUAGACGUUGAACAGAGACACAUCCUUCAUUGUUAAAAUGGAAAAUUUCUAUUAUGACACUGGUUUCAUUGCACAUUACGUUUAGGAGUACAAUAUCCUAAGUAUUCAGUUAAAAAAAAAUUGCGUGGAUCAGAGCAAGAGAAUUAGAAAAUUUGGGGUUUUAAAGUGCUCCUAAGAAUAAAUAUGUACUCCUGGAGUACCCAGCACUUUAAUAGAAAUAUUAAUUAUGACCACUAACUAAAGUGCCAUUUUGAAAAUUAAUCUUCUUGGAGCCCAAAUGCAAAUCACAGCUUCCUUUAAAUUUAAGGCGAUUCUUUUCACCUGUGAGAUCUGGCCCAUUUGUGUUCUAUUUUAAAUAACUAAAUUCUUUUAGAAAACUUUUUUUUAAUGAAUCUUCAGAGCAGUGACUGUUUUUCAAGUGUGCGGUGGUGGGUCGUAGUGAAAUUAUUUGUCAUAUUCCUAAUGAAUUCUAGUAUCUUGUAUAAUUUUUAUCUUUUAAACUAUUUUAUCUGAGUCUCUUUUCCAAAAUUUUAUGUAGGUAAUGAGAAAAUUUGCCUAGAAUGUACAUGUCAUACAUGGAUAACUUUAUGAUGUUUUGUAAUUAUCUGAAUGCUGUGUUUCAAUACUUUGUUACAUACAAGAGUAUUUCUCUUGUGAUCUUGACAGAAAGGAACAGAAGAAAGAACACUCUUCUGGAAAGCACUCUAGGAUGAGUCUCUGAGCUCUGUCUCGGAUUUUGAAUCUAGCUUUGCCACAAUUGCAGUGUAACUUCAGACUCUCUAUUGAGUAAGGGAGACUGGACUUUGUCACUAAAGCAGCAUCAGGAUUGUUGUUGAUCACAGCGCUAUUGGUAUCAUCGAUCCCUCCUUUGCUCCUCAACUUUCUCCAACCAAAGUAUGGUGGGAAAGAAUCCUGAUGAGGCCAAGAUUGAGUAAAUAGGAAGAACAGCUAGCAAACUAUGCAAAACCACAACAAAGAGUCAUUAUGAAUUUCAUAUCAAAGAAAGUUUCAUAGACCUAAGUCUUUAAUAUUGGCAUACUUUGUCACAGCUAUGCAUUGUCAGUUUAUACAAAAGCGGAAUGUACUUUCAUUAAAAUAAAGACUAUUUAACACAUACCGUAUCUAGAAAAAUAGUGGCUAGGAUUGUUUUAUGAUCUCUGCGGGAAUGUUUCAUGUUGUGAUUUUUGAGAUUCUUUUUCAGAGAAGGUAUAAAUGUAGUGUUUGUUUACAUUUCAUUUUGGUUGACGGCACUGGCAUCUUCCACUGAGCAGUCAUUUUCCACCCUGGAACCUAUUUACAGUUAAAGCAAGACAGAACAUGCGUUUCAUAUCAGGAACUAACUGAUUGUUACCAUAUUGAAAUUGGAAAUAAGUUUAGAACCAUUUCUACCCUGAAACAUCCAUUAUAGUUUAUUGAAAAAGCAAUGACUCUUAGAAGUGCUUGAUACUCAGACAACACAAAUUAAAAUGUGCAUAUUUAUGGUAUAUUGAAAACUGUAGAUUUCUUUGUACUCAAUGUUCUAGUGACUUUGUUUACACUAGUUGCAGCAUUUUGUAUACUAUAACGCAAAUUCUUGACAAUAACACUGUUACCAUGGGAAUUUACUUUUGCAAAUUCGUAAAUGUUUUUGCCACUGCAACCAUAUUUGUGAGAAUGUGGGGUAUUAAAAAUGCCUCUGUCUAUAAGGGUUAAUUCACUGGAAACAAUUGAUUCAUAUAUUGGCCAAGGAAACAAUGUGAAAAUUUUAUGUGAUGUUUUUAAUAGCAUUGUGCUAAGCAGUAGUUGUUUGCUCUUUUCAAAAUCUAAUUCAUGCUUAGCAGAUCAUUUUUUCUACUUAAACACAGGUAUUGUGACGUGUAAUAUAGAAAUUUUGUAUGUACUGUCGACCUAUCACCUGAUUGCCGGGAGGAUGUGUGCAAGUAUUUAAACUCUGUGACUUUAGGAUCAAUUCUGGAAUACUUGUGAUCGAAGUCUGAUUGCUUCUGGGAAGUUUGUGGUGAUUAUCACUUUAUUUAAAAUUGGUUCUCAAGAAAUAGUCAUUUUAAAAAGUGAAUUGGCAGGUGGAAGUUUCUAACCCAAAAGAAUUCUGGGUUUCAGCACAAUAAACUGUUAUUUCAUCAGGGAGGAUUAACUUUGAUUUUUUUCACACUUUAUUUAAAUGUGAAUAUUUUUU
rnacentral:lncRNA from 1 species